rnacentral:lncRNA from 1 species
GUUCUUCUCCGUGAGGAGGUCUUGAUUGUCUUCCCUUGAAGGGGUCUUGAAUCCGCUUGGGGGAUCUUCUCCGAAGAGGUCGUGAGCUCCGAGGAGAAGUAACCAAGUGGAUGAGCAAGGCUCUCACACAAAAUAUGAGCUAAACCAAUGCUAACCCUAAAACUUACGGGAUGAGGGAGUAUAUAUAGUCAAAGGGCGAAGGGGUACAUGGGUCACGGCCCAAAGGAGCUGCGUGCAGGCAGAGGGCGCCGGAUGUCCGGGUGACGGGCCGGAUGUCCGGGCGCUCACGAGGUGCCGGAUGUCCAGGCUGGAGGGGCCGGAUGUCCGGGCCAGUGGAGUUGACUCUUAUGUUCACUGGAUGGGAAACGCCGGAUGUCCGCUCGGAGGGGCCGGAUGGCCGCGGCUUCGGGAGGCGCCGGAUGUCCGGGGCGAACGCCAGAUGUCCGGGCGAACUGGGCAAGCUUCUGUGCUCCCUGGACGCCAGUGCCGGAUGUGCGGGAUUUAGGCCGGAUUUCCGGUGGGGGCCGGAUGUCCGGGCUGGACGCCGAAUGUCCGGUCCCUGUAGCUUCUUCUGUAGAUGCCUGGCCUUGUGGAUCUCCAGGGGCCGGAUGUCCGGGGUCCUGGCCAAAGGUCCGGUGCCUGGAGGCUGUUCUUGCCUUCUUCCAUUGGUUCUCUUCUUCCAUGGACUUGGGGUCUUGACCAUCUUCAUGUGCAUCCUCGGGAGGGUCCUCUUGGUACCUAAUCAUGCACAACAUUCCGGAUUGAGGUAGCAGCCAUGUCUCGAGAGGAUCAUAUGAGAUAUCAUUAAGGAGAGAAGUCACCUCGGUCUCUAGACCUCUAGCUCGUGCUCUAGUCAUGGGUCCUCUUGGUGCUUGGUGAGACGAUGGAAGGUCCAUGGGGAUGACCGAAGGAUGCUCCACAUCACAUUGAACUUGGGCAUUGUGAAUUUGAGCUUGCCAUAGCGUUGCUGUUCGUUGUGUUGUUGGCGAUGGUGAUGAUGAUGCCCAUGACGUGGAGGGUAAUCAUCCUCAUGUUGCUCUUGGCGUGGAGGAAGUCUAUGAUCAACUUGCUCUUGUUGAACUUGAGGUUGAGGUGGAGCUUGACGAGCUUGUGAAGGAGCUUGAGGAACUUGACGUUGCACGCGCGGUUGGUAGUUCCUCUCUUGGAUUUCUUCUCGAAGGGCUUCCUCUUGAUUGCACCGUUCGCGAUUGCGGUUGGUGAUGGCUCGACUAGAAUCUUGAAGGGCAUGUUGCACCUCAAGAGCUUGCGCUUCUCGUUGUUAUUGUUGAAGACGUUGGGCCUCGGCGUCUUGUUCCUCUUGGUGUAGGCGUGCUCGUUCUUCCUCUUGGCGUCGUAGUCGUUGUCGUUCUUGAGCUUGAGCAAAAGCGACUUGGUUUGAGUGAGGACGAGGGACUUGCUCAUCGACUUGCUCUUGUGAAUGCUUGUCGUGUAGCGGGUUGUGAGAUGCAUGACGGUCUUGACGCGCGGCUCGUCGAAGAGUGUUCGAUGAAGGUGUACUUGAGCUGGAGAAGGAGUCGUCGGAGUGUCGACUUGAGUGGCUCCGUCUUGAGUAUGAAGAAGUUGAAGGAGGCCGGUUCACCAACAAGGCUCGGAUCUCGUCCAUUCUUGCAUCAUUCUCUUGCUUGUGCGCAUCGAGCUUAUUGUCUAAGUAGUCUCAUGUACAUUGAUCAGAGAGUCACAAGUCGGUGGCGAGGUUGUCGAUGCGGUCAUUCAUUGCUUGUUGCUCUUGAUGUAACGCUCGUUGUGCACCAAAGAGGUGGCUCUUGGUGGUGUAUGAUGACAUGUCGUCGUCUUGCUCGAUGAAGAGUGGGUUGGUAGAAGUACUCGGUCUAUCCAUCACUCCAAGCAAAAAUCUGAGUGGUAGAAGGAGAAGAACUUAUACCAAUGUACCUUGACCGAUGUUGAUGAUGAAUCAAGUUCACUCAAAUGCGGACAAUGAGAUAGCACUAUUGGUACAAAUUCUUGUCGGUUCUCACACCUACACAAGUAAAAGCUUAUGGUGGAGCUAGGUUAGGAUGGUGGCACAAAAUUUGAUGCAAUAGUAAGUGAGCUUCAAUAAUGUUGGAAAUGAUUCACAAAUUUGCAAAUGCAACAAGUAGACCAAGCAAGUAGGGGUACACGGGAACACACAGGCAAAUAGAUAAGUGGGAUUGUGCAAACCAAAAGUGAGCCAAAAUGUGGAAUCCACGAAAAUGCUCUUGUUGCACAAUACUAGAGAGACGCUAGCACGAUUGCACUGUAGGCGGAUACGGAGCUUGUGCACAACCUACUAGGCAAAAAUGCAACGAUCUCUAUCCCAAUUAUGCUAUAUGUAUGCUAUUUCGGUGCUAUGAUCCAAGAUGAUCUUAUAUGACAAUCUUAAUGUAAUAUGAUGCUAUGGUUCUUGCUCAUAAGCUAUUUGCUUAUCUUUCCUCCUUGCUUAAGAGCUUGGGUGGCUCUUUCACUUUUGAGCUCUUUUCUUAUGCGAAACUUCACGAACCAAGAUAGCAAUUGUGUAUGCGAUAACAACUUUGUGACACACAAGUUGAUGCCAAGAUAUGCACCACUAUGAUAUGGUAUGUAUGCUAUGGAGUAUGUUCACUAAUGUGCACAAGUCACGUUGCCAGCAAUACUCAAUGGCUAGUCUCGAUGGGUAAGCAACAACAAAAGAUGGGCUAUGAAGCUUAUCAAUGCACUGGCAAUUUUUGGACAAAGAUGUCGUCGAUAUUACCGUCCUUGCUUCCGGUUGAAGGUUUCAAACGGAUGCGAAUGUAGAUGAUGUCGUGGUACACGGUCUUCAGUAUGUUGGCAAAGAUGCCGCUGCACCGUGGUCGGAGUUACCGAAGUAGCGGAAGUUGACGAAGAUGCGCAACCUCUCUGUCUAGGCCGGAAGGUCCGGGCAAGACAGAAGGUCCGGGUUCUGGAAGUUCCGGGGAAGGCCGGAAGGUCCGGGGGCCGGAAGUUCCGGGCUGGGCCGGAAGUUCCGGUGGUCGUGAUUCUGCCAAGAACGGAGACUUCGGGAACGUGGAUUUGGGCGGAAAAACUUGUGGAAAAACCCAAAUCCGAAGGGGAAAAAGAAGAAAUUAGAGGGGAAGAAGGGUAGGGAAGCUAGAUCCACUCGAAGCAAAGCAGAUCCAUGGAUCAAAUCCAACAAACUUCAUCACACCAACAAAUCACAAAAAAAAUUAGGGCUAUUUUUGGUGGGGAUUUUCGGAUUUAGGACGAAAACAACAAAAUCAAGCUAGAAAACACGGGGUAGGGGCUCCAAAAAUGUGAUCAACGUGGCUCAUGAUACCAAGAUGAUGUAGGGCGGAACCCUAGGGGCCGAUCUUUCACGUUUGGAGUGGAUCCUACGGGGGAAACACAAAGAACGCGCGGAAAACACAAGGGAGAACACAGGGAGAAACGGGAGAAUCACUAAACCGACAAGUAAUCGAUCACACAAGGGCUAGAUCACCAAAAGCCCAAGGUAACACAUGAUCCAAAAUCAACAAGGGGAGGAUACAAAGGGAACCGUUCUUCUCCGUGAGGAGGUCUUGAUUGUCUUCCCUUGAAGGGGUCUUGAAUCCGCUUGGGGGAUCUUCUCCGAAGAGGUCGUGAGCUCCGAGGAGAAGUAACCAAGUGGAUGAGCAAGGCUCUCACACAAAAUAUGAGUUAAACUAAUGCUAACCCUAAAACGUAGGUAGGAGAAGAGUAUAUAUAGUUUACGGGGCAAAAGGGUACACGGGCCUCGGCCCAAGUGUCUGCGCGCAGGCAAGGCCGGAAGUUCCGGGUGACGAAGGGUCCGGGCAGGGUCCGGCCUAACCAGAGAGUUGACGCGGGUGGAGCUGGGCUGGCGUCCGGGGGCCGGAAGGUCCGGG